rnacentral:rRNA from 1 species
UACGUAGGGUGCAAGCGUUGUCCGGAAUUAUUGGGCGUAAAGAGCUCGUAGGCGGUCUGUCGCGUCGGCUGUGAAAACCCGGAGCUCAACUCCGGGCCUGCAGUCGAUACGGGCAGACUGGCGUUCGGCAGGGGAGACUGGAAUUCCUGGUGUAGCGGUGAAAUGCGCAGAUAUCAGGAGGAACACCGGUGGCGAAGGCGGGUCUCUGGGCCGAUACUGACGCUGAGGAGCGAAAGCGUGGGGAGCGAACAGG